rnacentral:misc_RNA from 1 species
UCCGAGUUGACCCCGGCAGUCUCCUGCGAGUCCCCGACAUUACUCGCUGGCAACAGACAAUGAGGGUUGCGCUCGUUGCGGGACUUAACCCAACAUUUCACAACACGAGCUGACGACAGCCAUGCACCACCUGUGUACCACCUUCGAAAGCGGCCCCUUUUCGGGGGAUUGCAGGUACAUGUCAAGCCCUGGUAAGGUUCUUCGCGUUGCAUCGAAUUAAGCCAUAUGCCCCACCGCUUGUGCGGGCCCCCGCCAAUUCCUUUGAGUUUCAACCUUGCGGCCGUAGUCCCCAGGCGGUUCACUUAAUGCGUUAGCUGCGGCACCGAAGGAAACCCCCCGACACCUAGUGAACAUAGUUUAGGGCCAAGACUAC